GCCAGCAUAGUGUAAUGGUUUGAGCAUUGGAUUAUGAUUCUAGUGAUCAGGGUUCUGUUCCCUGCUCAGGCA